rnacentral:rRNA from 1 species
UAGGGAAUAUUGCACAAUGGGCGAAAGCCUGAUGCAGCAAUGCCGCGUGUGUGAAGAAGGCCUGAGGGUUGUAAAGCACUUUCAAUAGUGAAGAAAAGCAUAAGGUUAAUAACCUUAUGUGUUGACGUUAACUAUACAAGAAGCACCGGCUAACUCCGUGCCAGCAGCCGCGGUAAUACGGAGGGUGCAAGCGUUAAUCGGAAUUACUGGGCGUAAAGCGCGCGUAGGCGGUUUAGUAAGUCGGAUGUGAAAGCCCAGGGCUUAACCUUGGAAUUGCAUUCGAUACUGCUUGACUGGAGUAUGGUAGAGGGAAGUGGAAUUUCAAGUGUAGCGGUGAAAUGCGUAGAUAUUUGAAGGAACACCAGUGGCGAAGGCGACUUCCUGGGCCAAUACUGACGCUGAGGUGCGAAAGCGUGGGGAGCGAACAGG